rnacentral:rRNA from 1 species
UACGUAGGGGGCGAGCGUUGUCCGGAAUUACUGGGCGUAAAGGGCGCGCAGGCUGUUAAUCAAGUCAGCUGUUAAAUGAUGCGGCUUAACCGUGUUAUGCAGUUGAAACUGUUUAACUGGAGUAUCGGAGAGGUAAGCGGAAUUCCCAGUGUAGCGGUGAAAUGCGUAGAUAUUGGGAAGAACAUCGGUGGCGAAGGCGGCUUACUGGCCGAAGACUGACGCUGAGGCGCGAAAGCUAGGGUAGC